rnacentral:rRNA from 1 species
UACAGAGGGUGCGAGCGUUGUCCGGAAUCACUGGGCGUAAAGGGCGCGUAGGCGGUGGGAUAAGCGUGUGGUGAAAGCCCGGGGCUCAACUCCGGGUCGGCCGUGCGAACUGUUUCACUCGAGCACUGUAGAGGCAGGUGGAAUUCCGGGUGUAGCGGUGGAAUGCGUAGAGAUCCGGAAGAACAUCGGUGGCGAAGGCGGCCUGCUGGGCAGUGUCUGACGCUGAGGCGCGACAGCGUGGGGAGCAAACAGG